AAAAAAAGAAAAAAAAACCGGCAGAGGGAGCUGGGAAGAAAAGCAUUGAAAAAAGGCUAGAGGCUAUUGGUUAUCUAUAUAUUCACGGCAGCUAGGGGGGGAGAUUUUUUGGUGGCAGCCAAUUGAAGGAAAAAGUGGAGAAUCUUUUGGAGACAAAACCAUUAAUAAGCCAGCCAACUUGGGGAAAUUCUGGAAGAAAACGGAGGCAGCUAAUUGGAUUGCAAAAGGGCCGCUAAAUUAAUACAAUUUCUGGGAGAAAAGAAACAAUUGGAAUUUCACUCUUUUGGAGUCAACAAAACCAGCAGCUGCUUCCACGUUUCUGCUCCAAUUUCGGCUUCUCUAAUUGCUGUAUAUAUUAAAUCCAGCCACAAUGUUUGACAGCCAAAACAAUGCCCUAAUGUUACUCAAUUUCUUACACCAAUCGCCACCUGUUUGCUAAGACUGUGGAGCGAAUCAUGCUAGUACACGCUACCCUUUGGCGUCUACACAUGUUAAUCAAUCCGAAGAAGUAAACUAUGCACAGAACUUUCAGAGACAGCAAAAUAAUCCUUUCUCUAACACAUAUAAUCCGGGUUGAAAGAACUAUCCAAAUUUUUCAUGGUCCAAUAAUCAAGGACAAGAACAGGGAGGAAGUAAUCAAAAUAAACCACCGGGGUUCCAACAGCAACAAUAGCAACGGAGAAGGCCAUCAUUGGAUGAUUUGCUAGCUCAAUACAUUACUAAAACUGAGACCAACUUUCAAUACCAACAAGCCUCGAUCAAGAAUUUGGAACAACAGGUUGGACAAAUUGUAGCCGCACUAUCAGGUAGAGCUCAAGGGACAUUGCCCAGCAAUACUGAAAUAAAUCCUAAGGAGCAGGUCAAAGCAACCAUUACAAAUAGUGGCGUCCAGUUACCAGAAAUACAUGUAAAGCGGCCAGCAACUGUCAUAGAAAAGGCACCUACCAUGGGCGAGGAGCAAGUGGAUGAAUUAGACAAGGCCACUGAGGAAAAUCAAGUCGAGUCAUCAGAUAGUCCACAAGUGAAAUCAAUUGCUCCUGUCAAAGCAUAUGUUCCUCCAAUCCCAUUUCCACAGAGAUUGCAAAACCAUAAGCUCAACAAGCAAUUUCAGAAAUUUUUGGAUGUGUUCAAGAAGCUGCACAUUAACAUACCAUUUGGUGAAGCUUUAGCUCAAAUGUCCAGCUACUCCAAGUUCAUGAAAGAUAUUCUAUCAAAUAAGAGGAAGCUGGAAGACAAUGAAACAGUCGUGUUUACAAAGAAGUAUAGCGCAAUUCUCUAACACAAAUUACCACCGAAACUAAAAGACCCAGGGAGUUUUACUAUUCCUUGUCACAUUGGUAAUUUGUAUAUAGAUAAGGCAUUGUGUGAUCUAGGAGCUAACAUUAAUUUAAUGUCCUUAUCUCUUUUCCGGAAACUAGGUUUGGAGGAAGGAAAAUCGACUACAGUUUCACUGCAAUUGGCUUACAAGUCGAUCAAACACCCUCAUGGUAUUUGUGAAAAUAUUUUGGUGAAGGUUGAUAAGUUUAUCUUCUCAGUAGACUUCAUUAUUCUGGAUAUGGAAGAAGAUAUAUACGUCCCCCUUAUAUUGGGUUGUCCAUUUUUGGCCACGGGAAGAGCUCUGAUAGAUGUGCAAAAGGGUCAGUUGAUAUUGAGGUUAAAUGAAGAAGAACUGACAAUCAACAUGUUUAGAGCUUUCCGAUUUCAAAGCGAACUGGAUUCUUGCAUGCAGAUUGAUGUAAUAAAAGAAGCGAUGUCAGAGACAUUCAAACUAGAUUACCCUCAAGAUCCGCUCGAGGCGUGUUUAGUGCAUUCUCAAGAUUUACCAUCAGAAAAUGAGGAAGUAGAAGAACGUGCACGUUAUUUGGCAGCCAUACCACCAUUCGUCAAAUAACCACGACUGGAGCUCGAUGAAAGACCCUCAACACCUUUGCCAUCUAUACAGCAAGCUCUGACUCUUGAACUCAAACAGUUGCCCACCCAUCUUCGCUAUGCAUACUUGGGAGAAAAGAAUUCAGUUCCAGUAAUUAUCUCGAACAAUCUUAGUGAAUCAGAGGAGGAUCAGUUGCUGAGGGUACUUCGAGAGCAUAAGACAGCAAUAGGAUGGACGAUAUCGAAUAUAAAAGGGAUUAGCCCUUCGCUUUGCAUGCAUAAAAUACUAAUGGAAGAUGAUUACAAAGCUUCAAUUGAGCAUCAACGCAGAUUAAAUCCGACUAUGCAGGAAGUGGUAAGAAGGGAGGUAUUAAAGCUUCUAGAUGCAGGGAUCAUCUAUCCCAUAUCAGACAACCAUUGGUCCCAUAUCAGACAACCAUUGGGUUAAUCUAGUACAGGUAGUGCCGAAAAAAGGAGCAAUCACAGUGGUUCCAAAUGAAAACAAUGAGCUCAUCCCGACACGCACAAUCACGGGUUGGAGAGUUUGUAUUGACUAUCGCAAACUCAACAACGCCACGAGGAAGGAUCACUUUCCCCUUCCUUUCAUUGAUCGGAUGCUAGAGAGACUUGCUGGACAUGCCUACUAUUGCUUCUUGGAUGGUUAUUCGGGGUACAACCAGAUUCCCAUAGUGCCAGAUGAUCAAAAGAAGACGACCUUUACAAACCCUUAUGGCACUUUUGCUUAUAGGAGGAUGCCCUUCGAUCUUUACAAUGGUCCUACCACCUUUCAACAUUGUAUGAUGUCUAUUUUCUUGGAUAUGGUGGGAAAUAUCAUUGAGGUGUUUAUGGAUGAUUUCUCAGUAUUUGGAAAAUCAUUUAAGGAGUGCCUUGAACAUUGGAAAAAGUUUUACAACGGUGUGAAGAUACAAACCUUGUAUUAAAUUGGAAAAAAUGUUAUUUCAUGGUUUAGGAAGGGAUUGUGUUAGGACAUUUAAUUUCAGCAUGGGAUAUUGAAGUUGAUAGAGCUAAGAUACAAGUCAUCGAAAAACUACCACCACCUGUAACAGUAAAAGAAGUGAGAAGUUUCCUGGGUCACGCUGGGUCCUACCGUUGCUUCAUCAAAGACUUUUCCAAAAUCUCGAAGCUAUCGUGCAAUUUACUGGAAAAAGGGCCCCAUUUCACUUUUCUGAUGAGUGCUUGACAGCUUUCAAUGCCUUAAUAGAAAAAUUGGUUUCUGGUCCAGUAUUUGCUUCUUCAUAUUGGAAUUAUUCGUUCGAGCUUAUGUGUGAUGCGUGAUCACAGUGUUGGGUUAACGAAAGGAGAAAAGUUCUCAUGUGAUUCACUAUGCCAGUAAGACUUUGGAUGAGGCUCAAAUGAAUUAUGCGACUACAGAGAAAGAGCCAUUAGCAGUAGUGUUCGCCGUUGACAAAUUCAAAUCUACUUGAUUGGGUCAAAAGUGAUUGUCUAUAUAGAUCAUUCAGCGUUAAAAUAUCUAUUGAGCAAGAAGGAUGAAAAGUCGAGACUUAUUAAUUGGAUACUCUUAUUGCAAGAGUUUGAUCUGGAAAUUAGAGAUAAAAGGGGGAGUGAGAAUGUUGUGGCAGAUCACCUUUCACGCCUUGAAUCGUAUGAAUCAAAUCCUACAUUGGAGAUCAAUGAAGUCUUUCCUGAUGAAAUGCUCUUUCAGAUUAUCACUACACCAUGUUAUGCCGAUUAUGUCAAUUAUUUGGCCCGCUCCAUCAUCCCACUAGACUCCUCGAGUCACCAAAAGAAGAAAUUCUUCAGUAACCUAAAACACUACUUUUGGGAUGAUCCAAUUCUUUACAAAAGGGGUCAGAUCAGAUCAUACGCCAUUGUGCGCCAGAGGUGGAGCAGCAUCAAGUAUUAGAGUUAUGUCACUCUGUACCAUAUGGGGGCCACUUCGCAGCAACCAAGACAGCAGCAAAGGUACUGCAAUCGGAUUUUUAUUGGCCUACGUUGUUUAAGGACGCCCAUUAUAUGGUGAAACAUUGUGAUAUGUCCCAGAAGACUGGAAAUAUCUCAAGAAGGAACGAGAUGCCUUUGAACAGUAUUUGGAGGUAGAAAUAUUCGACGUUUGGGGCAUUGACUUCAUGGGACCAUUUCCUCCAUCCUAUGGUCAACAAUAUAUACUGGUAACAGUGGACUACGGGUCUAUGUGGGUUGAAGCUAUAGCUUUACCAACUAAUAACGGUCGAGUGGUAACUCAAUCCUGAAAAAGAACACUUUCACGAGAUACGGUACCCCGAGGGCAAUUAUUAGUGAUGGUGGAAAACAUUUUUGUAACCGCCUAUUUGCUUCAUUGUUGGCCAAAUAUGGAGUGAAAUAUCAUGUCUCAACUCUAUACCAUCCUCAGACUAGUAAGCAAGUGAAAAUCUCCAACAGAGAGUUAAAGAAGAUUCUUGAAGCCACGAUCAACGCAUCACGUUAAGAUUGGGCUAAGAAAUUAGAUUAUGCACUUUGGGCAUAUAGAACAGCAUUUAAGGCUCCAAUUGACAUGCCUCCAUAUCGACUGGUAUUUGGAAAGGCUUAUCAUCUGCUAGUUGAGUUAGAGCAUAAAACAUACUGGGCGACACACUUGCUCAAUUUCAAUAUGAGGGCAGCAGUAGAAAAGAGGAUCCUACAACUUUAUGAGCUAGAUGAGUUUCGUUUGGAUUCGUAUGAGAAUGCAAAGAUUUACAAGGAAAAGACCAAUAGAUGGCACAACAUGCAUACAAGGGAGAAGGAGUUUGAGGUUAGUCAGCAAGUAUUGAUAUUCAAUUCACGCCUCAAGCUUUUUUCGGGAAAGCUAAAGUCUAGGUGGUCGGGUCUAUUCACAGUAGUAGCUGUGUUUCCACCUGGUGCUAUGGAAGUGGUGUCUCAAGAUCAACAAAGGAGGUUCAAAGUAAAUGGACAACGGUUGAAAGCUUAUUGGGGAGGUAACUACUCCAGUGAAAAAACAACCAUACCACUUGAUAAUGUAGAGUAGCCAAGACGACAAAAUCUAGCUAAAGACUAUAAAAGAAGCGCUUCUUGGGAGGCAACUUAAGCGUUUUAUUUUAUUUUUAUUUCGUUUUCUAUUUUUGAUUAAUAUGAUAGUUUCAGUUAUUUUAUAAUUUCUAUUUAGGAAUUCAUCAGCCAUAUCCUGUCUUGCCUUAGGUUUACAAAUAGUCAAGUUGGUUAUUUCAUGUUUGAGCUAAGUAACACUUGUUCUAUGUAUUUAAUAUCUAAAUUUGAUUUUUCAGGAACAUGACGUCGCGGAACAAUCAUACCAACUUUGACGAGGAGAACAUGAAAAAUCUCAAGUUUGGGAGUAAAAUCUAAAAGAAGCGUCCAUCAAAUUCAGCGUCAGAGCACAGACUGUCAUUGGCAAUUCAGACAAUUCGGGGAAGUCCUCCUCGUUUUCUUUUAAUUUAACAAUGGGGACAAUGUUUAGUUUAAGUUUGGAGGGGAAUAUAUUAUAAAUUGUCUAGAAUUGCCUUUUUUUUUUUAUUAUUGUGUGAAUUGUGUGCAUUUUUUAAAAAAUAAAAAAAUUAUUUUAUUUUAUUUAUGUGUUUUGUUUUUAAUUUCUUAAUUGUGUGCAUCGUUAAAAAAAUGAAUUUUCUUUUUUAUUAUUAUUAUUUUGUAUGUUUGUGUGAGUUAGAUAGCCUUGCAGGUAUCGAUUUGUGUAAUUAAGAACAUGUGUUAUUUUAUGAAUUAUGGACGAGUUAUGUGUUCAAAUUAGAUUUUUGAUUAUUUAUGUGAAAUGGAAAAUAUUUAUGCACUUGAGUUGAUUGUAACGUUGGGCAUGAGUAGGUUGAUUCAUGUUUAUAGGUUGAAUAAGAGAACUUAGAUACUAAACCCAAACAACUUUUAAACAUUAUUAUAUCCUUAAACCAAAUAUAGGUUGUUUGGUAGGUUAAGCUGUUGUAGGAAAACUUGGAGAUAUAUGGUGUGUGCUAAAUUUUGUGUGGAUUGUCUGAGCCUAAUAGGAUGAAAAUUGGGUGAAAACCUUAAGUUAGAGUUCAAUUUUCGAGAAUAAAUGUUUAAUAAAGGGCAUUGCACUAAUCAUUGCAUAAAAAAAUAAAAAGAUCCCAAUGAGGACAACUUUAAUAAUCUCAUUGUGAAUUGUCUCUUCGUAGCCUUUAUGACUCAAGUGAUUAAGCCUGUAUGGGUUUAAAACUUGGUGCCCUAAAGUCGUCUGAUUUGGGAGUCAUCGGCCUAAAUCUCGCUACAGGAGUCAUUUAGAAAGUUUAAAGGAAGGACGUCCGCACAAAAGAUGAUUAAGGAAUAAAAUUUAUAUCUGAAAAAAAUAAAUAAAUUUGGAAAUCACGUGCCUUCAUUAAGCCCCGAACACUUGUUUUAGAGAAUUAGACUUUCGAUAAGGGGUUAGUAACUUGAUUCUUAGAGGUUGAAGCAGUAAAAAAUAAGGAGAAUCCUCAUUUGUUGACAUGAUGAACUACAAUUAAUGACGUCUAACCAAACUUGAGUGGUGUAAAAGUUUAGUAUUGAAAAUUAAUUUUAGAAUACACCUUGGGAAGUAAAAAGAGAACAAGUUUGGGGGUGUAUGAAUCCCACGAGCGAAGUUAGGAAAUAUUUAACUUUUAAGGUCGGGAACUAAAUCAAUUUGCUAUUGUACAGCGUUGCAAUUAACUUCUCUCUCACACACCCGUUUUGCAUUGAAUAGGUGAGAAUUUUAGCUUGUGCAUUAUAACUUUGAAGUAAUUCAUGCAAUUGACGCUAUGUUUUUAAUCUUGAGCCAUGAAGGCAAGCUAUCUAGCGAAAUUUGUUUUAAGUGAUUUUGUUUGUCUUAGUUGUGCUUGUAUGUCCAUUAAUUAUUUUUACUGGUUUGGUGUUUGCUCGAGGACAAGCCAAAUGUUAAGUUUAGGGGUAUUUGAUGUGUAAUUUACACUCAUUAUAUUAUGCCAUUAAAUUCAUGAUUUUGCUAUCUUGGAGAGUAUUUUAGAAGUGCUAAUAUGUGAUUUCGAUAUUGUUUUGUAGAUUGAUGGAAGUGAUAAAAAAAAGAGUGCAAAAGAAAAAGAAAAGAAGCAAAAGGGAAAAACAAGGAAUUAGACCAAACAAGCUAGAAAUUGGCUAAAUUGAGCUUAAUCGAAAGUCGGAGACCAAAUUGUAUAUAUUGAAAAAUUGAAGGGGUAGAAUUGAAUUAAAGAAUGUCAUGAGGGCUAAAAUACACCAGGGGAAUGAAGUAAAGCCUUGAUAAAUAAAUUACAUGUAAUUGGGCCACACGUGAAGCGGAAUUUGAGUCAAAUUAGGCAGCUUCUAGGUUAAUUUAUAUAUAUGCGUGCUGGCUGAAGAAAAGAGGAGAAAAACAAAACCUAAAGAAAAAAAAAAAAAAAAAAAAAAAAAAACGGCAGAGGGAGCUGGGAAGAAAAACAUUGAAAAAAGGCUAGAGGCUAUUGGUUAAUUAUAGAUUGAAGGAAAGAGUGGAGAAUCUUUUGGAGACAAAACCAUUAAUAAGGCAGCCAACUCGGGGAAAUUUUGGAAGAAAACGGAGGCUGCUAAUUGGAUUGCAAAAGGGCUGCAAAAUUAAUACAAUUGUUGGGAGAAAAGAAACAAUUGGAAUUUCACUCUUUUGGAGUCAACAAAACCGACAGCUAGGGGGAGAAAAGAAGGAAAAUUUGGGCGGCUUCUUGUAGUAAGAAAUUGAGUAACAUUUGGGCAUUGUUUUGGCUGUCAAAUAUUGUGGCUGGAUUUAAGAUAUACAGUAAUUAGAGAAGCCGAAAUUGGAGCAGAAACGUGGAAGCAGCUUCUGGUUUUGUUGCAUGGAAUUGGCAUACACACGCACAGAGCUAAUAAACAUUGAGCUCCCGUCAAGUUUUGGUGAUUUACUUCCACUUUUAUUUAUUUAAUCCCAAUAUUAUGCUAGGCUAAAUAUUUUCAUGUAUUGGAUAAUAACAAAAUUGUUUAAUUUGUAGUUUUAAUUCGAGACUUAUGUUUUUAUGUUAAUUAUUGCGUUGUGAUUACAUUAAUAUGCAUAAUUAGAUUGUUUUAA
rnacentral:lncRNA from 1 species